UACCUAAACAAAUUUAAAAAGUUAAGCUUUUAAAUAACUAUUAAAGAUAUUAUCCCCUUGUAGUGUAGUUUAAUAGCUAUCUACAUAUUAACUUAAUAUAAAGUAUAAUAGUUUAUAUUUUAUAAUAUGACGUUAACAAUUUUGUUUAAUAUUUGAAAAUGUUAGUAUUAGUAAUAUUAGUAUAUGUGCUAAAGGAACUCGGCAAAAAACCACUCAACUGUUUAUCAAAAACAUAGCUAUAUGAAUUAAUAUAUAGUUAUUUCUGCUCAAUGAUUUAAAUAGCCGCAGUACUCUGACUGUGCAAAGGUAGCAUAAUCAGUUGGCUUUUAAUUAGAGUCUGGUAUGAACGAAAAUAUGGGUAGUAACUGUCUUAGCACAUUUUUUCGAAGUUAUUAAACAAGUGCAAAUGCUUGUAAUUUAACAAUAGACGAGAAGACCCUAGAAACUUGGACAAGUUUUUGUUGGGGCGACAGAAUUACACUUAACUAAUCUUAUAAUACACGACGCGAUGUUGAAAGAAUAAGUUACUCUAGGGAUAACAGCAUAAUUUCAUUAGUUUGUGACCUCGAUGUUGGACUAGGUACUAUACCCUUAAGGCAAGGAUAUAUUAUGCUCUGUUCGAGCAAAAUUACCUACAUGAUCUGAGUUCAGAC
rnacentral:rRNA from 1 species